rnacentral:rRNA from 1 species
UACGUAGGGUGCGAGCGUUGUCCGGAAUUACUGGGCGUAAAGAGCUCGUAGGUGGUUUGUCGCGUUGUUCGUGAAAUCUCACGGCUUAACUGUGAGCGUGCGGGCGAUACGGGCAGACUGGAGUACUGCAGGGGAGACUGGAAUUCCUGGUGUAGCAGUGAAAUGCGCAGAUAUCAGGAGGAACACCGGUGGCGAAGGCGGGUCUCUGGGCAGUAACUGACGCUGAGGAGCGAAAGCGUGGGGAGCGAACAGG